rnacentral:lncRNA from 1 species
CUAAUAUCAAUUUAUAAGUUAAAAGGUCAUAUUUUUCCUUCAACAAUAUUUUUUUUCUCUUUAGAUUUUGACACCAAAUGUGAAGUAUAAAUAUUAUAAAUUUAUAAUAGACCCAAAGUAGUAAAAACAAUUUAUAGAGAGUGCCAUUCUCCUAAAGGCUAAUUUUAGAAACCUCCCUUGAGGUUUGAUAUAAUUUCAGUUAGAUGAAGAUUAAUUGUAUUAUCACUUACCUCCCCUGCCGUUAGUAUACAUACACAUAUAACGUUAGUAUUUGAGGGCAAAAAUGUAAAAGACAUGCUAAAAAUCUAAAAAAAAUCAAGUAACAAUAAAAAAUUGUUUGAAAUCCAUUGGAUAAUCGUAUUAUCCGAUUACACACAAUAUCUAUUGUAUAAAAAAGUGAAUUUCUCUUUUUCUAUCACAAAAAAAGUAAUGGAGAUUUCUUUCUCUUACAUUAACAAUCAAAGCAUUUUUCACUCCACUCCCUUAUUCCCAGUUGCUAGAACAAAAAGAAAUAAACACAAAGAGCAUAUAUAACACAUGA